ACAAUAAUAUGUAUGACGCUUACUAUUUCAUACUGGAUAAGGGACUUCAAUUAUAUUAAAUUUAAGGGACAAAUCAACCCCUGAUGUCAUUCUGUGGACUUCAAUGGAAUUCGCUAGGGGUGGAUUUGGCUCCAGGGCUUUGGAUCACAAAAUAGAAGAAAAAAGGAGCACAUGCUACUGGAUGAGAAGGGGAACAGAGUAAUCUUUCCAGAGUGAGUCAGAACAUCAUCUGAAAUGGGACUCGGCAGUAUGAGCCUGCAGCAGACUCGUUCUGGGCAGUAUGCCCUAAAAAGACAAGAAGCCUUUCUGAUUUAUGGGGUUUUCAGUUACUGAGACAAACCUUUGCAUCAGAGACUCAACAGCCCCCCGGACGAGUGGCCAGGACCUGG